ACGAACGCUAGCGGCGCGCUUAACACAUGCAAGUCGAACGCUUUGGGUAACUGAAGCGUGGCGAACGGGUGAGUAGCACGUGGAUAAUCUACCCUCGAGUGGGGGACAAACCCGGGAAACUGGGUCUAAUACCGCAUUCGGCCCUCUUUACAUAUGUAGAGGGGAUCAAAGCCUUCGGGCGCUCGGGGAUGAGUCCGCGACCUAUUAGCUAGUUGGUAGGGUAACGGCCUACCAAGGCUACGAUGGGUAGCUGGUCUGAGAGGACGACCAGCCACACUGGGACUGAGAUACGGCCCAGACUCCUACGGGAGGCAGCAGUGAGGAAUAUUCGGCAAUGGACGAAAGUCUGACCGAGCGACGCCGCGUGAGUGACGAAGCCCUUAGGGGUGUAAAGCUCUUUUGUCGGGGAAGAAUGCCCACUACGGUGGGAGGGACGGUACCCGAAGAAUAAGCACCGGCUAACUCCGU
rnacentral:rRNA from 1 species